UCACAGAGGCAUGUUUUCAGUUAGUUAGUUCCUGGUCCUCAGAAAAGAUUUUAUAAUGCCUUUCUAGCCAUCUAAGGCUUUAUGAGCAUUAACUAUGGCAUUAUCCAGUCUAUACUGCGUUAUUUUGUUUUGCCUUUCUACUUUCACAGGAGGUAGCAAGUUUAAACCAAGAUAGAAUGUUUAAAAUCAUUGACAGUUGUCUUAAUUAACUAAAUGUUGCCAUACAUGCUGUUGGAAACAAUUGCACUGUAUAAAAGCAAUGAAAGUGAGCGUUCUUUUGGGGGAGAAUGUCUGCUGCUGUACUUGAGCGUCACGAGUCCUCCUUUAACUACGUAAGCCACGCCCAACCGUCGAUGCGGCUUUGCACAUCUGAAUACAAUGAACAUUAAUUAUGACCACUGCAGCUUCCGACGCACCACCAGCAAAAACACAGUAAAAUUAUUAAGACACUAUUUUAACAUUAAUUUAACUUUAAUUUAUUUUAUAUAUUUUUAAAAUAUUUUUAUUAUAUUAUUAUUUUACUAUUUUUGUUCAGUAUGUCAGUGAUGCUCCGGCUUGUCUGUUGUUUUGUGUACGUCAGCAAGUUGUGCUGUUAUUGGAUGGCGUUGUUAUUCCAUAUUCGGAAGUCUUCGUAUGGAACUGAACUCUGGGUCUUAAUUGAACCGUGUUUGCACCUGCGAAAAUAUCCAUCAUUAAAAACGGAGUCGCUGUCGGUAACGUUCAACAAGGGGAUACAUAUCUAGUGCAGCAGACCUACCCUGUGAGGCUCAUCUGAAUUCCUAUGAACUGGUGACACUAAAUGCUGAU